CUUCUAAUCAGCUUGAUCCAAUGCAAGGUGGAUUUUUUGUUCUGAAUUUUUUCCUUCAUAGUUGUCAAAUCCUAAGUCCUAACUGUAUGCAUAUCCCUUAAGCUAUUGUUUCCUACACAGUAUUAUCUUGUUGAAGUUGUCAUUAGUUAAUGUGUGUCCGGUCAUAUUCUUCUUUAAUGGUUCGGUUACUUUUUAUUUCAUUUUAUUUGGUGCAUCCUUUCUUUUAAAUAUUCCACUUGGUGCGAUAUGUACAUACAGAUAAUGACUUGUCUAUCAUUCAUCUUAAAAGCAUGAAGUUCAUUGAUGUGGUUUCUUGUGUUUGGUGUAACCUCCCUAAAUACUUAGAAAACAAUAAUGUGACCUGUAUCUCCUGUUGUUGACAACCUGCUGAAGACCAGAUGUUUAGUAAAACUACGACGAUUUUGAAGAUUUGAAUUUUCUUAAAAGAUAAUUAUUAUGUGUUUGGCCUAUUUUUUUAUGCAAAAAAUAACCCUUUUUAUUGUUGUCUAAUCAUUACCUCUGUUUUAUUUUAUUUUUCAAUUUUUAAAGAUUGAUAUGCUCAUAUUAGUUGUCUAAUCUUUAAACUUUCUUUCUGAAGGGAAAUAAUGGUAACUUUUGGGAUUUUAUGACUUCCAAAUUCACAAGUCCCGUGAUGAAUCAAGGUGUGCUAAUUAGACUCGGAUGAUCUUCUGCCGCUACUACCUGAUAUGAGUCCUUUCGGUCAUGAUAUAAUUUUAUCCAGUUGGCGAGCUCAAUUGAGUAAUAAUGGUUCAAACCC
rnacentral:lncRNA from 1 species